rnacentral:rRNA from 1 species
UACAGAGGUCCCAAGCGUUGUUCGGAUUCACUGGGCGUAAAGGGUGCGUAGGUGGCUUGGUAAGUUCGAUGUGAAAUCUCCGGGCUUAACCCGGAAAUGGCAUUGAAUACUAUUGAGCUGGAGGUUUGGAGGGGGACUGGAAUUCUCGGUGUAGCAGUGAAAUGCGUAGAUAUCGAGAGGAACACCAGUGGCGAAGGCGAGUCCCUGGACAACACCUGACACUGAGGUACGAAAGCUAGGGGAGCAAACAGG